rnacentral:tRNA from 1 species
GCUGGAAUAGCUCAGUUGGUAGAGCAAUGCCCUCGUAACGCAUAGGUCAUAGGUUCGAGUCCCAUUUCCAGCACCA